rnacentral:rRNA from 1 species
CCUACGGGAGGCAGCAGUGAGGAAUAUUGGUCAAUGGACGGAAGCCUGAACCAGCCAAGCCGCGUGAGGGAAGAAGGUACUAUGAGUUGUAAACCGCUUUUGUAAGGGGGUAAAGGCGGGUACGAGUCUCUGGCUGAGGGUACCGUAAGAAAAAGGAUCGGCUAACUCCGUGCCAGCAGCCGCGGUAAUACGGAGGAUUCGAGCGUUAUCCGGAUUUAUUGGGUUUAAAGGGUGCGUAGGCGGGCGGUUAAGUUAGAGGUUAAAUCCCGGGGCCCAACCUCGGAAGUGCCUUUGAUACUGGUCGGCUAGAGUGUAGGAGAGGUAGGCGGAAUGCGUGGUGUAGCGGUGAAAUGCUUAGAUAUCACGCAGAACCCCGAUUGCGAAGGCAGCUUACCGGGCUCCUACUGACGCUGAGGCACGAAAGCGUGGGUAGCAAACAGGAUUAGAUACCCGUGUAGUC